rnacentral:rRNA from 1 species
GACGUCUACAUUAGAUACCCGGGUAGUCCAGGGUGUAAACGCUGCAGACUUGGUGUUGGAAGCCCUUUGGGGGCAUUCAGUGCCGGAGAGAAGUUGUUAAGUCUGCUACUUGGGGAGUACGUCCGCAAGGAUGAAACUUAAAGGAAGUUGGCGGGGGAGCACCGCAACGGGAGGAGCGUGCGGUUUAAUUGGACUCAACGCCGGACAACUCACCGGGGACGACAGCAAUAUGUAGGCCAGGCUGAAGACCUUGCCUGAAUCGCUG